GGGGAUGCGCCGGAGUUGGAGAGCCGGGACGGACUGUAAAUCCGUUGCUUUUAGCUGAGUAGGUUCGAUUCCUACCAUCCCCA
rnacentral:tRNA from 1 species